AUUGAACGCUGGCGGCAGGCCUAACACAUGCAAGUCGAGCGAGCGGCGGACGGGUGAGUAAUGUAUGGGGACUGCCCGAUAGAGGGGGAUAACUACUGGAAACGGUAGCUAAUACCGCAUACUAUCGGAUAACCCAUAUGGGAUUAGCUAGUAGGUGAGGUAAUGGCUCACCUAGGCGACGAUCCCUAGCUGGUCUGAGAGGAUGAUCAGCCACACUGGGACGGAGAAACGGCCCAGACUCCCGGGGAGGCAGCAGGGGGGAAUAUGCCACAGUGGGCACAAGCCUGAUGCAGCCAUGCGGCGUGUAUGAAGAGGGCCCUAGGUUUGUAAGGUACUUUCAGUCGGGAGGCGUUACCGACAGAGGAAGCACCGGCUAACUCCGUGCCAGCCGCCGCGGUAAUAC
rnacentral:rRNA from 1 species